rnacentral:pre_miRNA from 1 species
UGAGGAGGAAUCCAAAGGGAUCGCAUUGAUCUCAUAUCUCUAGCUCUUUCAUAUUGAGUUUUUGGGAUCAUGCUAUCCCUUUGGAUUCCUCCUU